rnacentral:rRNA from 1 species
UUUCCCUCAGGAUAGCUGGCACUCGGUAAAACGAGUCUCAUCUGGUAAAGCGAAUGAUUAGAGGCCUUGGGGCCGAAACGACCUCAACCUAUUCUCAAACUUUAAAUGGGUGAGAUCUCUGGCUUGCUUGAACAGUGAAGCCACGAGAUUUAACUUGGAUCAGAGUGCCAAGUGGGCCAAUUUUGGUAAGCAGAACUGGCGCUGUGGGA